GCAAGUCGAACGGUAACAUUUCUAGCUUGCUAGAAGAUGACGAGUGGCGGACGGGUGAGUAAUGCUUGGGAACUUGCCUUUGCGAGGGGGAUAACAGUUGGAAACGACUGCUAAUACCGCAUAAUGUCUUCGGACCAAACGGGGCUUCGGCUCCGGCGCAAAGAGAGGCCCAAGUGAGAUCAGCUAGUUGGUAAGGUAACGGCUUACCAAGGCGACGAUCUCUAGCUGUUCUGAGAGGAAGAUCAGCCACACUGGGACUGAGACACGGCCCAGACUCCUACGGGAGGCAGCAGUGGGGAAUAUUGCACAAUGGGGGAAACCCUGAUGCAGCCAUGCCGCGUGUGUGAAGAAGGCCUUCGGGUUGUAAAGCACUUUCAGUUGUGAGGAAAAGUUAGUAGUUAAUACCUGCUAGCCGUGACGUUNACAACAGAAGAAGCACCGGCUAACUCCGUGCCAGCAGCCGCGGUAAUACGGAGGGUGCGAGCGUUAAUCGGAAUUACCGGGCGUAAAGCGCACGCAGGCGGUUUGUUAAGCUAGAUGUGAAAGCCCCGGGCUCAACCUGGGAUGGUCAUUUAGAACUGGCAGACU
rnacentral:rRNA from 1 species